GAGAGUUAAACAGUACGUGAAAUUGUUGAAAGGGAAACGAUUGAAGUCAGUCAUACCAACGGGAAAUCAACCUCUUGAGUUUGGUCUUGUGGGUUUCGAAGAGUUUAAAAGCCUUCGGAUUUGCGAGGAUUGGGCUCUUUUGGUGUACUUUCUCGUAAGGUUAGUCAACAUCGGUUUUGAAUGUCAUAAAAUGACUGGAGGAAUGUGGCUUCGAUCUCGUAUUGAAGUGUUAUAGCCUUUGGUAGAUGUGAUGUUCGAGACCGAGGAUUGCAACGGAUACCCUUCUGGGCUAUUCGUCUGAUCUCUGAAACGUUGCCUUGAUGUCGAAAGCUUGCUUAUGAUGUUAGGGUAUUACGGUCAAAAGGUUAGAACGGAUUAAAUUCGUUAAGGAUGUUGACGUAAUGACUUUAAACGA
rnacentral:rRNA from 1 species